rnacentral:lncRNA from 1 species
UAUUCAGGUUGAUUCGAAGAAGAUAGAGUGGUUUAGAGUUGUCCCAGACCGUCAUCAGCCACAGAGAUUCAUAGUUUUCUUGGUUUGGCGGGUUAUUAUCGCCGGUUUGUUUAGGGAUUUUCAUCCAUCGCAUCGCCCUUGACCAAGUUUACUCAGAAGGGUGCUUCAUUUGUAUGGUCGUAUGAGUGUGAGGAGAGCUUUCAGAAGCUCAAGACAGCCUUGACCACAGCUCCAGUGUUAGUUUUGCCAUCAGCUUCAGGUUCAUAUACCGUGUAUUGUAAUGCUUCGAGAGUUGGUAUUGGUUGCGUUUUGAUGCAGGAGGGUAGAGUUAUUGCUUAUGCUUCUCGUUAGUUGAAGCCCCAUGAAAAGAACUACCCCGUUCAUGAUUUGGAGUUGGCUGCCAAGUUCACGCGUUGAAGAUUUUGAGGCAUUACUUGUAUGGUGUGUCUUGUGAGGUGUUUACUGAUCAUCGUAGUUUCCAGCACUUGUUCAAACAGAAUGAUCUCAAUUUGAGGUAGCGUAGGUGCUUGGAGUUGCUAAAGGAUUAUGAUAUCACUAUAGUGUACCAUCCGAGAAAGGCCAAUGUGGUGGCCGAUACUUUGAGCCGAAAGGCGGUGAGUAUGGGGAGUUUAGCAUAUAUUCCAGUUGGGGAGAGACCUUUUGCACUUGACGUUCAGGCCUUGGCCAAUCGGUUUGUGAGGUUGGAAAUUUCCAAGGCCAGUCGGGUAUUGGCUUGUGUGGUUUCUCGGUCUUCCUUAUAUGAUCGCAGCAGAGAGUGUCAGUAUGAUGAUCCGCAUUUGCUUGUCCUUAAGGACAGAGUUCAGCAUGAUGAUGCCAGAGAUGUGACCAUUGGUGAUGAUGGGGUGUUGAGGAUGCAGAGCCGGAUUUGUGUGCCUAAUGUAUAUGGGCUUCGGGAGUUGAUUCUGGAGGAGGCCCAUAGCUCGCGGUAUUCCAUUCAUCUGGGUGCUGCGAAGAUUUAUCAGGAUUUGAGGCAGCAUUAUUAGUGGAGGAGAAUAUAGAAAGAUAUUGUGGGAUUUAUAGCUCGGUGUCUCAAUUGUCAGCAGGUGAAAUAUAAGCAUUAGAGACCGGGUGGCUUGCUUCAGCAGAUGGAUAUUCCAAAGUGGAAAUGGGACCAGAUCACUAUAGACUUUGUAGUCGGACUUCCAUGGACUUUGAAGAAGUUCAAUGCUAUUUGGGUGAUUGUGGAUCGGCUAACCAAGUCUGCGCACUUCAUUCCUGUGUGUACUACUUAUUCUUUAGAGCAGUUGGUAGAGAUCUAUAUCCGGGAUAUUGUUCGUUUGCAUGGUGUCCCAGUUUCCAUCAACUCAGAUAGGGGCACUCAGUUCACUUCGCAGUUUUUGAGGUCUGUACAGCGAGAGUUUGGUACUCAAGUCGAGUUGAGCACAGAUUCUCACCCUUAGAAGGACGGGCAGUCCAAGCGCACUAUUCAGAUAUUGAAGGACAUGUUGCAUAAUUGUGUCAUUGAUUUCGGAGGGUCAUGGGAUCAGUUUCUACCACUUGCAGUGUUUGCUUAAACAACAGCUAUCGGUCGAGUAUUCAUAUGGCUCCAUAUGAGGCUUUGUAUGGGAGGCGGUGUAGAUCUCCAGUUGGUUGGUUUGAGCUAGGUGAGGCUAGGCUAUUGGGGACAGACUUGGUGCAGGAUGUUUUAGAAAAGGUGAAGGUGAUUCAGGAUAGGCUUCGUACAGCACAGUUGAGGCAAAAGAGUUAUGCUAACAAGAAGGUUCGGGAUGUGUCCUACAUGGUUGGUGAGAAGGUUCUGUUGAAGGUUUCGCCCAUGAAGGGUGUUAUGAGGUUUGAGAAUAAAGGUAAAUUGAGUCUUCGAUUCAUUGGACCUUUUGAGGUGCUUCGGAGGAUUGGGGAGGUGGCUUAUGAGCUUGCUUUGCCACCCAGCUUGUCGAGUGUACAUCUGGUAUAUCAUGUGUCCAUGCUUCGAAAGUAUAUUGGGGAUCCGUCUCAUGUUUUGGAUUUUAGCACUAUUCAGUUGGAUGAUGAUUUGACCUAUGAUGUGGAGCCAGUAGCUAUUUCGGGUCGUCAGGUUCGAAAGUUGAGGUCAAAAGAUAUAGCUUCAGUGAAAGUGCAGUGGAAAGGUCAGCCCGUGGAGGAGGCUAUCUGGGAAACCAAGCGAGAGAUGCGGAGCAGAUAUCCUUACCUGUUUGAGGCUUCAGGUAUGUUUCUUAACUCAUUCGAGGACGAACGUUUGUUUAAGUUGGGGAGUAUGUGACGACCCGGUCAGUCGUCUCAUGAGUUACCGCUCUAUUUCCCCCAUUUCUGCUCCUUAUUACUUUGUCUAUCGAUUCUAUAUGUGAUCGNNNNNNNNNNNNNNNNNNNNNNNNNAGUUCCAAUGGUUCAAAUAGCUUCGGGAGGUGAUUUGGGACUUAGGAGCGUGAUCAGAAUGAGUUUUGGAGGUCCGGAGUAGAUUUAGGCUUGAAUUGGCGAAAGUGAAUUUUUGACGUUUUCCGGUUGAUAGGUGAGAUUUUAAUAUAGGGUCUAGAAUGGAAUUCCGAGAGUUGUAGUAGUUCUGUUGUGUCACUUAGGAUGUGUGUGCAAAAUUUCAGGUCAUUCGGACGUGGUUUGGUUGGGUUUUUGAUCAAAGGCAUAAUUCGGAAGAAUUUGGAAAACUUAGGCUUGAAUCCGAUGUAUUUUGGUUGAUUCGAUGAUGUUUGAGGUGUUUUGAAGAUUGGCAUAAGUUUGAAUAAGGUUAUGGGAUAUGUUUGUACUUUUGGUUGAGGUCCCGGGGGCCUCGGGGUGACUUCGGAUGGUUGAUGGAGAAGUUUGGAAUUUUGGUAAGCUGCAGAUUUUCUACUUCUGGUAUUUCCGCACCUGCGGAUUGGGGACCGUAGGUGCGAUGCCGCAGAUGCAGACGAUUGGUCGCAGAAGCGGAAAAUGGCUGGAAAGGAAGAACCGCAGAAGCGGUUGUUGGAUCGCACCUGCGAAGGCGCAGGUGCGGAAUGUUCAUCGCAGAUGUGAAAAGUUGAGACUUAAGUGAGGACCGCAAAUGCGGUGGUCUUGACGCAGAAGCGGUACCGCAAAAAUAGGAAUUGGGCCGCAGAUGCGAAAUCCCUGGGCCAGAAAGUAUAAAUUGUUUCCUUCGCGAUUUUUGAGCCAUUCCACCAUUUCUACGUUGGCUUUGGAGCUUUUUAGAUGAUUUUGAAGAAGGAUUUCAAGGGAACUUUAUUGAGGUAACGAUUUUGGACCUAAAACUCGUUCCUAUUGUAAUAUUUCACGGAUUAGAGCUAUAAUUAAUGGAAUUAAGGGUUAAAAUUGGGGAAACUAGGGCUUGGUAUUGGAGACCCAGACUUGAGGAUUUGAGGGACCAUUUGUGGUCAGAUUUUGGUACUUUUGAUAUGUAUGAACUCGUGGUGGGAUGAGGAAUCUAUUGAUGUGAAUUUUAUCGAAUCCCGAGACGUGGGCCCGGGGGUCGAAUUUUAGUAAUUCGGGACUUAGGUUGUAAAAUGAUUAUUUUCGCUUGGGCUUCAUUCCCUUAGCAUAUUUUGACGUCAUGAUUCUAAUUUUGGAUAGAUUCAACGCGAGUGAAGACCGAUUCGAGGGGCAAAGGCCUCGCGGGCUAGAGUUUGGACCGGAUUGAGGUGACUAAUGAUUGUAAAUGAUUUUCUGAGGGUAUGAAAUCCCGGAUUGCACAUCGUUGUGCUAUAUUGAGGUGACGCACACGUUAGAUGACGAGCAUGGGGUCGUGCACUAUUGGGGAUUGUGACUUAGUCCGUCCCGAAUGACUGUUUUACCGCGUAUUUGACUGAAAACUAUUUGUUAUCAUCAUGUUUUGGGCUGAACACCAUAUUUGGGUUUCGUGCCAAUUAUUUGAACCCUUAGGGGAUUUUUAUUGAUAUUUCCUCACUGUUUUGACUUUAUACUUGAACUCAAUCAUGUUAUAUUCUAUUGUUUUUCAUAACUCAGCCAUGUUUACACUACUUUAACACUUAAAUGAUAUUUUGGGUUGAGCACUAUGUUUUACUAUUGCCCAAGCGGCUGUGAGAUUCUGACUGAGUAAGGCCGAGGGCCUAUGUUGUGAGGAAACAUUGAUGUUGAUAUGAGGCCGAGGGCCUAGUGAUGAUGCCACGAGAUGGCUUGAUAUUGCGCUUGGGCCGUAAGGAGCCCCUCCAGGAGUCUGCACACCCCCAGUGAGCGCGGAUACCCAUUGUGAUGUGAGAUGUAGCCCGAAGGGCUGGUAUUGAUCUGAGAUAUUGCCCGAGGGGCGGAAUUGUUGACAUUGUACCCGAAGGGCGAACCUUUAUGUGUUUAUCUUUCUUAUUUUUUCGUCAUUUACCUGUUUAAUUGUUGAAAAGGCAUUCCAUGAAUUAUAAACUGAACUUAAAUGAUUUUAUAUUUCUUGACUGAUUCACUAUUUUUACUGGUUUUACUGCUUCAUUAUAGUAUGUAAUGUGCCUUACGUGUUUUCAUAUCUCUCAAUCAUUUAUUUAUGUUUAUUACUCACUGAGUUAGAGUACUCACUUUACUCCCUGCACCCCGUGUGCAGAUUCAGGCGUUGUUGAUCCUGCUAGUGCGAGUUGAGAGCUCCUGGCAGACUUCGGAGUCCACGAGGUAGUUGUUUGGCAUCCGCAAUCCCGUGUUUCUACCCCUUUAUCUUAUUUAUAUCUCUUUAUCAGUUAUUCUGUAAUAGCUUAUAUAUUUUUCAGACUUGUGUUGGAAUUGAUAGAUGCUCAUGACUAAUGAUACCCCGGUAUCGGGCUGUGUUGGGUUGUAUUCCGCAAAUUGCUUUGUAUUGUCACCGUUACUUUUGAAUUUAUAUCAUGUUUAAGACUAAAUGCUUAUUGUUUAAUUGCUUAAAACUGAAUUGAAAAUUUGUCGGUUGGCCUUGUCUUCACGAGAGGCGCCAUCACGACCGGGUCCGGGUUUGG